rnacentral:rRNA from 1 species
GAUGAACGCUGGCGGCGUGCCUAAUACAUGCAAGUCGAGCGAACAGACGAGGAGCUUGCUCCUCUGACGUUAGCGGCGGACGGGUGAGUAACACGUGGAUAACCUACCUAUAAGACUGGGAUAACUUCGGGAAACCGGAGCUAAUACCGGAUAAUAUAUUGAACCGCAUUGUUCAAUAGUGAAAGACGGUUUUGCUGUCACUUAUAGAUGGAUCCGCGCGGCAUUAGCUAGUUGGUAAGGUAACGGCUUACCAAGGCAACGAUGCGUAGCCGACCUGAGAGGGUGAUCGGCCACACUGGAACUGAGACACGGUCCAGUCUCCUACGGGAGGCAGCAGUAGGGAAUCUUCCGCAAUGGGCGAAAGCCUGACGGAGCAACGCCGCGUGAGUGAUGAAGGUCUUCGGAUCGUAAAACUCUGUUAUUAGGGAAGAACAAAUGUGUAAGUAACUAUGCACGUCUUGACGGUACCUAAUCAGAAAGCCACGGCUAACUACGUG